rnacentral:rRNA from 1 species
GAUGAACGCUGGCGGCGUGCCUAAUACAUGCAAGUCGAGCGAACAGAUAAGGAGCUUGCUCCUUUGACGUUAGCGGCGGACGGGUGAGUAACACGUGGGUAACCUACCUAUAAGACUGGGAUAACCUCGGGAAACCGGAGCUAAUACCGGAUAAUAUUUCGAACCGCAUGGUUCGAUAGUGAAAGAUGGUUUUGCUAUCACUUAUAGAUGGACCCGCGCCGUAUUAGCUAGUUGGUAAGGUAACGGCUUACCAAGGCGACGAUACGUAGCCGACCUGAGAGGGUGAUCGGCCACACUGGAACUGAGACACGGUCCAGACUCCUACGGGAGGCAGCAGCAGGGAAUCUUCCGCAAUGGGCGAAAGCCUGACGGAGCAACGCCGCGUGAGUGAUGAAGGUCUUCGGAUCGUAAAACUCUGUUAUUAGGGAAGAACAUACGUGUAAGUAACUGUGCACGUCUUGACGGUACCUAAUCAGAAAGCCACGGCUAACUACGUG